AUUUUUACUUGGAGGUUGUCUCCUUUGGGGACUUUUCUAGCAAGUUCUUUUCUGCUGAACAGGGGUCCAGGCUGGCUUUUUUUUGCCUUACCCCAGUUGUGAGCUGGCAAACAUCUCCCAGAAGAUAAAUCUAAGCGGUCCUUGUGCACUUACAGAUACAUCAUAUUAAUUUUGCUUUGGAGUGGAAGUGGCAGACAGAAGAAAAAAAGAAAGCUUAUCUCAGUAAAACCUUCAAUGGUAUUAGCAUAUUUGUCUUCUUAUACAUCAACAUUCAAGAUUAAAGCCUGAGCUUUUAACUUCAGUAAGUCUUGUAGGCUUGAGAGAGGAUGUGUUGUUGAAUGCCUGGAUCUGAGAGAACAAGUAUUACAUCCUCACUCAGCUGACCCAGAGGUUGCAAAGAAUGAGUGAUUGAUAUUUUCAUGAAAUCAUGAAAUUCUAGAGAACUGUUCAGCAAGACACUGCAUUCCUCCAAAAACAUGAAUUAGAUAAUAUAUCAUCAGUUUGUGCUGCUGUAAGCUAAUCAUGAAUUGUUGCCUUCUUACAAUGCUUUUUGAUCAUUUAGUCGUAUAGUAAAAAGACUCCAAGAACUUUCCUACCAGCUACUAGUUCUCCUUAAAGAACAGCAGGAUUGAUCUGAAAAAAAAUCUCAUUUUUUUAAGGGAAAGUUCUUUUUAAAAAAACAUGUUUUCAAAAUGCAUAUACUUCAUUUACAAAAUUUGUUGGUGUUUUUUUUCUUUCUUUCUUUUAGAAAACUGAAAUCCUUCUGGGAUAGUUUACAAAAAGACACACAAAUAAAUCAGCAUUCUACAGGAAAUGAUAAAAAAAAUUCUCAACAUCAUAGGAAAAAUAUAUCAAUUUCCUGACCAAUUCAUUCUGCUGAAACAUAAAUUGCCUUUUUCUGAAGACACUGAAACGUCCUUAUUUAGAACAUUAUUAGUAAUGUUUUUGUCUUUUCAGCAAACAUAAAAAUAAUAACUGGGAAUGAUUCUAAACUGGUAUUAAUUUAUUCUGUUAAAUAAAUGGAAAUUUCUG
ensembl:lncRNA